GUAGGUGACGUCGCGGAAGGCACGCGGAGCCGAUCAGAACUUGCGGCGGGGCUGCUGGGUCCUCUAGGAGCGUCCAUGAGCGCACGUUGGCUACAGGCUGCCAGGUGGGAUGUAACCGGUCGCUGAGGUGGCCCGUCUGUGUCCGGAGGCUUCGGCCCGGCUGCUGCCACCCAUAAGCUACGAGGAGGAGCUUUAUGACUUCUCGGCCUGCGGGCCGGGCGGAGCAAGGGCCAUACUCCGCGCGAGCAGGCGCCGCGCGCCAACUGGCCGGCGCCUGGCUGGCACGAUCGCACGGUAGCGCAGAAGCUCCUCAAUGGCCAGCGCCAGCUGGAGCCCCAGCCGCCCACUCGCCUCACCUGAGCCUGGGCGAAUCUGGAUUGGGAAAGUUGACAUUAAUCAACUCAUUAUUCCUCACAGAUUUGUGGUCCUUCUCAUAGAAUUAAAAAGACUGUACAGGUGGAACAAUCCAAAGUUUUAAUCAAAGAAGGUGGUGUUCAGUUGCUGCUCACAAUAGUUGACACCCCUGGAUUUGGAGAUGCAGUGGAUAAUAGUAAUUGGCCAUUACAUAACUGAAGACUCCCACCUUCAGGCAGGAUUGGGUAGUACAUGUUUGUAACUACUUGGCAUUGCCUUUUGUUGAGACUUAAACCAUUGGAUCUUGAGUUUAUGAAGCAUUUGCAUGAAAAAGUGAGUAUCAUCCCACUUAUUGCCAAAGCAGACACACACCAGAGGAAUGCCACAGUUUGAAAAACAG